rnacentral:rRNA from 1 species
UACGAAGGGGGGCUAGCGUUGUUCGGAAUUACUGGGCGUAAAGCGCACGUAGGCGGACAUUUUAAGUCAGGGGUGAAAUCCCAGAGCUCAACUCUGGAACUGCCUUUGAUACUGCGGGUCUCGAGUCCGGGAGAGGUGAGUGGAAUUCCUAGUGUAGAGGUGAAAUUCGUAGAUAUUAGGAAGAACACCAGUGGCGAAGGCGGCUCACUGGCCCGGCACUGACGCCUGAGGCGCGAAAGCGUGGGGAGCGAACAGG